rnacentral:rRNA from 1 species
UACUCCUACGGGAGGCAGCAGUGGGGAAUAUUGGACAAUGGGCGCAAGCCUGAUCCAGCCAUGCCGCGUGAGUGAUGAAGGCCUUAGGGUUGUAAAGCUCUUUUGUCCGGGACGAUAAUGACG